rnacentral:rRNA from 1 species
UACGUAGGGGGCAAGCGUUGUCCGGAAUUAUUGGGCGUAAAGAGCGUGUAGGCGGCUAGGUAGGUCCGUUGUGAAAACUCGAGGCUCAACCUCGAGACGUCGAUGGAAACCAUCUAGCUAGAGUCCGGAAGAGGAGAGUGGAAGUUCCUGGUGUAGCGGUGAAAUGCGCAGAUAUCAGGAGGAACACCGGUGGCGAAGGCGGGUCUCUGGGCCGAUACUGACGCUGAGGAGCGAAAGCGUGGGGAGCGAACAGG